CAAAAUUCAAAAUCAAAUAAUCGAAAAUCAAAUACGUACUGUAUUAUAAUCAUUUUAUUUUGUUUGGGGAACAUAGAGACUACAGUAUCCUUGACAAGGCCUUUAUGUAAUAACCUCCCGCCGGGCGAAGCGUUCAACCUUGGAAAGUUUAACUGAGAUUUUGUUGUUCUAAUUUAUAAUUUAUAAGUUAUAAUUUACAAAAACAUGUAUCUGUGUUGCUGAAUGAACCACCGUGCGAUUGGCCAAUGUUGAUAACUUGAUAGCCGCAUAAACUAAACAUUCAAAAUUGCAUACGAGUAUCCAUCAUGAUCGAUGAUCCUAGUAGAGUCUCCAGAUGACAGCGUUUACGGCUUACUUCGUUGCAGACGAUUACUAGUACUUAGUAACUAGAGUAGUACUAGUAACUAGAAUAAUUUAUAAUUCCCGCAUUUCUCUUCCAGGUUGCUUUGAAAGUGGGUUGCAUCGUUGGGGUGUUUCCAACUGCCAAGAAGUUUUUGCUGUUGUCAGAUUUUUCUGUUUGCAACUUUCGAGGAUUAUAUCUCAGAUUCAAAUAACAAUGACUGAAUCGGAAGUCUUAAUCGUUUUAAUUGGAGGGAGUAUUACAGCCAUGCUCUGGUAUCUGAUAUCGUACUUCCUGCCUCCGUUCGUGGAAGAACCGCCUGAUGAAGCUCCGAUCCAGGCACAGAAAAAUCCUGCCGAUAAAAAGGUGUGUGCAAAUGUCUUUACGACAAAGAUACACACAAUGAAACGCACCAAAGGUGCCAGAAACAAGACGAGCACCUCCAUAUUCCCGAAAAAACACGACAGAAAUUUUGAUCCCAAGGAAAAAUUCGAAGGACAGAAAGAUCAGUUCAAUAUUUCAGAUAAUGAAGUUGCGCCUAGCGAACCGGUUCGCUACCCUGGACCUUUUCGCACUUACGAAGAAAUGUUCGCUUAUAUUGAAGAAACCAUGCCAUCGCCACCAGAAUAUGUACCUAUACUCGUACAAAUGGGCAGUUGGGGACGUGUCGGAAUUCGCAGCGUGGCCAUUGUGUUAUUAUUAUUUUGCCUACUCCAGCCAUCGUAAAGAUCGACAUUUCUAACAAUAAGGACAAUCGACGGAUCCGAAGAACGAAAACAAGAUUAACAAAGUCAAAGCAAUACGAAUUCCGUUGAAUCGGAAGCUGAAGACGGACAGCAGACUGCCGGUUAACAAUGGUGUAUCCUCUGUGGGAAAUGGAGCUGUCUUCCGUAGAUAGGCAGUCAUUUCUUCUCGAGUUUUGAACUGGUGUGGCGCAAAGAAACUGGAAUGUUUCUGGAUGGCAGUUUCCAGCAUUCCCGCGUUGGUUCCUUGAAUCUGGUCGAUGGAAUUUAAUGCUGGCGGUAUACCUACAACAUAUCGGUGCAAUAGUAGAAUUUCGCACAAAAUGACAGGCUGCAUUUGUAUUACAGAUAAAUGUUGUGACAAUUUCAUUAUGUACCCCGGGAAGUUAUUACUCUUAAAAAAAUUAAUUUUGAGACGAGUCAUUACUUGCAUCAACAUUAAAACUACACUAAAAUGUCAGUGGGAAUAAUCAUACACUGUUAUUGGGUUUAAAAAUUAAUAUCCUGUUAUUGUUGCACGUUGCUUUGUGUGCCAUUACUAUUGUUUAGUUGCCGAUCAUUAAGCAAAAAUAUACUACUUUGUAGGUGUUUGAGCUCCUGCUGCCCUACACACAGCUGUAAUAUGGGAGCCGUCCUUGGUGCUGUCUGUGUAUUAACGUCGAAAAAUGUCUACAUAUCGCUCGCUUGCUUGCCCUUAGGGCUGCUGAGGCCUAUACUAUGUAGUAUUAUUUUGGUACAAGUAUUAAAUUUAAGACUAAUAAUUUUUUAUUAAAUUAAUUACUUCAUACAUCCACGGUCGGUCAACUAUACUACCCCAUAGUUAGGUAUUAAUUUUGUGUUGGAUUUAAUCGGUAUAGUAAUUUUACAAUCAUAAUGUACUAUCAUAUCACCUUAAAGGUUACCGACUUCCGACUGGCAAUAAAUCCGAGCGAGUAAAACCGAAAAAAUCGCUAACUAUAACGGAAGCGGUGGCUGACGACUGGUAUCAAAAAAGAGGAGUCAGACCGCGAGACAAAAGAGCUUUUUUUUCCGCCCGUAAUAACAAUUAUUUAAUUUUCUUUCAAUAUAGUGGUGUGCAGAGACUCUGGUGGUGUGCACUAUGUUCUUGGUGGUGUAAGGAGAUUUAGGUGGUUUUUGUAAAAAAAUUAAAAAAUAAUAAAAAGUGGUGUGCGGAGCCUGGCGGUGAUGUUUCGUGGUGUGCGGAGACUUUGGUGGUGAAACGUGGUACGUUAUUUUGUAAUUGUCCGGUACUUCUUUCUGUGCCGUUUGUGCGACAUGUUGCGGUCCAUAGUACAACUGUAACAUAAUAAGUUGCCACCAAGCGUUGCCGUUAACGCAGUCUGCAGAGGUUUUCGAUAUCGAUCAGCAGACUCUUCGAAGCAAUGCUACAUUAUUUUGUAAUUGUACAAUUUUGCAGUUCUAUCUAGCAAAGUGCAGUUGAGUGCAGUCGCAAUCUUCAUGAACUGUUUUUGGUUUUCUAAUUGUUAGAUUUUGAUUCACUUUAGUUUGACAGCAGUUUCUCUCGUUACGCGUUCGCUUAGACGAUUAUUUCUCGGAGGAAUCACCACAGCGGUAUAGUAUUUGAAUUUGCAAUUUCCGACUGCAGAUGAGUUUCGGAAGAGACCUUUCUCAAGAAAGCCAGGGACAUCAUAAAAGAGCGAAUACGCGCUACAAACGACAAGACGAAGCGGAAAAAUGACAAUAUAAUAUCGGAUUGUCCAGCGGAUUCAUCCAAUUCCUCGGGUCGGCCGGUGAAGAGUGAAUGUGAAGCGAGGACCAAUGGUGGAGUGGUCAGUCUGGUCUCGCGGUUCACCCGGAUGAGCGGACAGUUGUAGAGCUCCACGGUGAUGACACCCAGUCGACCGGCAACGAGUGUGGAAGACCGCUGGCCUCGACCGGCAGCGCGGGUCGAUCAUGGGCUUCCGGUUGUUUGUGGGAAAACUCAGUGGACUUCCAGAUAGACUGUCAUGGUGGUGUGCCUCGACUGACGCGUUCGCUGUCAUCUCAGCACCCUUUAGAUCAAAAGCUUCAAGUGGGCCAUGAUCAAAAUUCGAAACAGAUACGUGUCGAUCGUCAAGAACCCUCUUACUGAAGUCUGAAGCUAAAUCCAAGUUAACCGUCCUGGAAGAACAGUCUGCGCUCGUAUCGGGAACGCGGGUAUGUUAUUGUUCACGUGGGACAAAAAUAUGUGUAUGGUUUUGUGAUCGACAAAAUCACGUGCUGAUUUCUAUGUUUUGCAGACCGUUGUUCAGCAGUUCGCUGAACUGGAACUCAAACGCACAGAUCUGAUCAAAAUUAUUGUUGAAUAAAAUCACGAACGUGUGGAAAUUUAUCUAAGUCUGAUAAUGUUACUCGUAUUCGUAUUUCGUCGAAAUUGAACGGCAAAAUUAAACGAGAAUCUGAUUUUUUUUAAAUUUAGUAUGUUUGUAGUCUGCAGUAUGCCCAGUAAUAAAGCACUUAACAUUUUUACUUGUUGUUACAUUUAUAAUAAUCUAUGUAGACUGCUGAUUAAAAUGUUUAGAUAUAAACGAAAUAGCAUCGAAAUUCUGAAAUGCAGUAAAACGCUUUGUUGAUAAUAAUGUGAGAAACCGAAGGAAGAAACGAUAACGGCUGCAGCAAGCGGAAUUUUGCUGACGACUAAUUUGGUGGAUCGUUGCAGAACAAUGCUGUCCGACGGGAAUUCGAUUAUGCUAAUCCGAUGAUGGGACUAUUGAAGCGCUUCUUCGAAUACAAACUCUUCACAGCCGAGGAGCUGGGCCUGCUUUUUCCGGCAGGUGCCAGCACGAGUAGCGCCGGCGGCGGCCCGUCUUCCUCCUCCUCAUCCAGCGCGGAACGCGAUUGACCACGCACACCGACCCUGCGAAACGGGAAAAAAAGCUGAAGAGCAGAAGAGGGAAAAAACUCUGCUUUCAAUUGUGGAUAAUUCCGUCGCGUGGUGCGUGAGCGCAUGUGUGGAUAGCAAUCGAUGAUUAUAACCGGUUUUGCGCCUGCUGCAAGUGCUGUUUUAUAUUUCAACGGUACACCUACCGCGUUCUGUUUGCGUUUCGGGGGUACACACGAGUGCAUUUUGUUCGUGAUCUUUUAUUCGUUUGUCGGCACCGACACACGUUUGUACACUUGGUUGUAAUUAUACACUGAAAAAAUUUGGUUUUGUUGAUUUACUUUACUGGAAACAAUAACACCGUUGCCUGCUUCACAGCAAUUUGGAAUAAUUUAUAUAUUUUCAUUUUUUUUAUCUAUUUUUCUAGUUGCAGUGAAAGACAAAGCUUGUAGUCUUUUGUUAAAGUACUCGAAAAGUGCUGUUGUUGUUCCUUUACUGGAUUAAAUGCAAAAAAAUAUACACCGUUGUUUUUCGAGAAUGUCGGUAAAUGUACCUCAUUAUUACCAUCUAUUUACAGAAUAGUGAAAAAAGUGUAUGAGGAAUGCGUAGCUUGCGCGUAUUACGUACGUACGUGCUGUGACGUACGUGUUGUCUGUUCCGUUACGUAUGACUUGCUGUUCUUAUCUUACGCAUUUGA